GUAGUCAUAUGCUUGUCUCAAAGAUUAAGCCAUGCAUGUCUAAGUAUAAACAAUCUAUACUGUGAAACUGCGAAUGGCUCAUUAAAUCAGUUAUCGUUUAUUUGAUAGUACCUUACUACAUGGAUACCUGUGGUAAUUCUAGAGCUAAUACAUGCUAAAAACCCCGACUUCGGGAGGGGUGUAUUUAUUAGAUAAAAAACCAAUGCCCCUCGGGGCUCCUUGGUGAAUCAUAAUAACUUAACGAAUCGCAUGGCCUUGCGCCGGCGAUGGUUCAUUCAAAUUUCUGCCCUAUCAACUUUCGAUGGUAGGAUAGUGGCCUACCAUGGUGGCAACGGGUAACGGGGAAUG
rnacentral:rRNA from 1 species